CCUACGGGUGGCUGCAGUGAGGAAUAUUGGUCAAUGGACGCGAGUCUGAACCAGCCAUGCCGCGUGCAGGAGGACUGCUCUAUGAGUUGUAAACUGCUUUUGUACGAGGGUAAAAGCCGAUCCGCGUAUCUGUUUGAAAUUAUCGUACGAAUAAGGAUCGGCAAACUCCGUGCCAGCAGCCGCGGUAAUACGGAGGAUUCAAGCGUUAUCCGGAUUUAUUGGGUUUAAAGGGAGGGUAGGCGGGCGUUUAAGUUAGAGGUGAAAUGCCGGGGCUCAACGUCGGAAUUGCCGCUGAUACUGUUCGGCUAGAGAGUAGUUGCGGUAGGCGGAAUGUAUGGUGUAGCGGUGAAAUGCUUAGAGAUCACACAGAACACCGAUUGCGAAGGCAGCUUACCAAGCUACUUCUGACGCUGAGGCACGAAAGCGUGGGGAGCAAACAGGAUUAGAUACCCUAGUAGUC
rnacentral:rRNA from 1 species